rnacentral:rRNA from 1 species
GUACACUCCUACGGGAGGCAGCAGUGGGGAAUAUUGGACAAUGGGCGCAAGCCUGAUCCAGCCAUGCCGCGUGAGUGAUGAAGGCCCUAGGGUUGUAAAGCUCUUUCACCGGUGAAGAUAAUGACGGUAACCGGAGAAGAAGCCCCGGCUAACUUCGUGCCAGCAGCCGCGGUAAUACGAAGGGGGCUAGCGUUGUUCGGAUUUACUGGGCGUAAAGCGCACGUAGGCGGACUAUUAAGUCAGGGGUGAAAUCCCGGGGCUCAACCCCGGAACUGCCUUUGAUACUGGUAGUCUUGAGUUCGAGAGAGGUGAGUGGAAUUCCGAGUGUAGAGGUGAAAUUCGUAGAUAUUCGGAGGAACACCAGUGGCGAAGGCGGCUCACUGGCUCGAUACUGACGCUGAGGUGCGAAAGCGUGGGGAGCAAACAGGAUUAGAAACCCGUGUAGUCCCA